ACCAGUGUGGCUCAGUGGUCAGAGCAUCGCCCCACACACUGAAGAGCCACAGGUUCAAUUCCUGGUCAAGGGCA
rfam:Myotis davidii contig110767, whole genome shotgun sequence.